GACAGAGGGUGCAAACGUUGCUCGGAAUCACUGGGCGGAAAGGGCGCGUAGGCGGGAAUGUAAGUCGGGCGUGAAAUCCCCAGGCUCAACCUGGAAACUGCACUCGAAACUGCGUUUCUUGAGUAUCGGAGAGGAAAGCGGAAUUCCUGGUGUAGAGGUGAAAUUCGUAGAUAUCAGGAGGAACACCAGUGGCGAAGGCGGCUUUCUGGACGGUAACUGACGCUGAGGCGCGAAAGCAUGGGGAGCGAACAGG
rnacentral:rRNA from 1 species